CAGUUUCCUCAUGUUUAAAAUAAAAGAGUCUAGAGUAGGUGACUUUCAAGGCCCCUAAAGCCCCUAACGUUAUAUGACUAUUCUACUUGUUUUGGGAAAACACCAUUGUAGAUAUUUGCAGUGUUGCCUGAGCACCAUACUAGAUGGGCGAGGGAUCAUGACAAGGCACUUUGUUUAAAACUUCUGAAAAUAAUGGCAUGUCCUAACAUCAUUAUCCAGGAGUACAUUGUGAGUUCAAGGGUGAACUCGGGCCCACUUACAUACUUAGAACAGGCAGACACUAAAAAGGAAAUGAAGUUGAAAUCUGAGGCCAAAUGUGGGAGCUGUCCGAAGUACGAGGUAAUGCCCAAGAGUUUUCCAACUCCACUGGGCAUUAUCCCAGGGUAAUCAGUAUCCCAGGGUAAGUCAGACCAAUGGAUCAGGAAUGGGCUACUGGACCUCUCUUCCCUUGGAGCAGACAGCCAUUGUGCUGAGGACAGAUAAACUAUGCUGUUUCUUCAAUUUACUAUCUCCCCUGGGUUCUGAUCCUAUUUCUGCUAAUUCAACUCUGGACAAGAUCUCAGAGCUCUUUAGGGUAGUGGGAUCUGGCAGCAAUUCACAAACCAACUUCUCUGUGGCCCUCAUCUGGACUGUUAAGGUUUGAUUUUUCUCCAGGAAGCACAUGAAUGCAUAAUCCAGGCUAGGAAAAUACACUGCUGGGUCUCACUACUCCUACAAUGCAAAACAUUUCCUUUUGAGAGCUUCCCUCCUGUCAUCUCCUAAGAAAGAAAAACAUUUGAUAGCCUGUUUUCAAUAUUCCUUAUCCCCAGGCAAUUGCCAAGGAUAUUAUGUGACUUCCCUCUUUCUACUCUUCCUUGAACAAACUUGACCCAGCCUUCUGAUUUCGGGAUAUGGGCUGAGCCAUCUAUUAUGAAAACGGUCAGAGACAAACCCAUCAUCUUACUCCCCGGGAAACAAGAAGAGUUGCCUCAAAAACUCCAUGCGACGUGUCCCCACUCCAUCCACGCUCCCGCCCCCCUCUAUUUCCCAGGAGAAACCUUAGUGUCCUAUUUCUACCUGAGACAAGCAGGGAGGCUGUGGGGCAGCGUCUUACCUGAGAUAAAAUGUUCUCUUGGUUGUCC